GGUCAAGUGAAGAAGCGCAUACGGUGGAUGCCUUGGCAGUCAGAGGCGAUGAAAGACGUGGUAGCCUGCGAAAAGCUUCGGGGAGUCGGCAAACAGACUUUGAUCCGGAGAUCUCUGAAUGGGGGAACCCACCUAGGAUAACCUAGGUAUCUUGUACUGAAUCCAUAGGUGCAAGAGGCGAACCAGGGGAACUGAAACAUCUAAGUACCCUGAGGAAAAGAAAUCAACCGAGAUUCCCUUAGUAGUGGCGAGCGAACGGGGAUUAGCCCUUAAGCUUCAUUGAUUUUAGCGGAACGCUCUGGAAAGUGCGGCCAUAGUGGGUGAUAGCCCCGUACGCGAAAGGAUCUUUGAAGUGAAAUCGAGUAGGACGGAGCACGAGAAACUUUGUCUGAACAUGGGGGGACCAUCCUCCAAGGCUAAAUACUACUGACUGACCGAUAGUGAACCAGUACCGUGAGGGAAAGGCGAAAAGAACCCCGGAGAGGGGAGUGAAAUAGAACCUGAAACCGUAUGCGUACAAGCAGUGGGAGCCUACUUGUUAGGUGACUGCGUACCUUUUGUAUAAUGGGUCAGCGACUUAUAUUCAGUGGCAAGCUUAACCGUAUAGGGUAGGCGUAGCGAAAGCGAGUCUUAAUAGGGCGUUUAGUCGCUGGGUAUAGACCCGAAACCGGGCGAUCUAUCCAUGAGCAGGUUGAAGGUUAGGUAACACUGACUGGAGGACCGAACCCACUCCCGUUGAAAAGGUAGGGGAUGACUUGUGGAUCGGAGUGAAAGGCUAAUCAAGCUCGGAGAUAGCUGGUUCUCCUCGAAAGCUAUUUAGGUAGCGCCUCAUGUAUCACUCUGGGGGGUAGAGCACUGUUUCGGCUAGGGGGUCAUCCCGACUUACCAAACCGAUGCAAACUCCGAAUACCCAGAAGUGCCGAGCAUGGGAGACACACGGCGGGUGCUAACGUCCGUCGUGAAAAGGGAAACAACCCAGACCGCCAGCUAAGGUCCCAAAGUUGUGGUUAAGUGGUAAACGAUGUGGGAAGGCUUAGACAGCUAGGAGGUUGGCUUAGAAGCAGCCACCCUUUAAAGAAAGCGUAAUAGCUCACUAGUCGAGUCGGCCUGCGCGGAAGAUGUAACGGGGCUCAAACCACACACCGAAGCUGCGGGUGUCACGUAAGUGACGCGGUAGAGGAGCGUUCUGUAAGCCUGUGAAGGUGAGUUGAGAAGCUUGCUGGAGGUAUCAGAAGUGCGAAUGCUGACAUGAGUAACGACAAUGGGUGUGAAAAACACCCACGCCGAAAGACCAAGGGUUCCUGCGCAACGUUAAUCGACGCAGGGUUAGUCGGUUCCUAAGGCGAGGCUGAAAAGCGUAGUCGAUGGGAAACAGGUUAAUAUUCCUGUACUUCUGGUUACUGCGAUGGAGGGACGGAGAAGGCUAGGCCAGCUUGGCGUUGGUUGUCCAAGUUUAAGGUGGUAGGCUGAAAUCUUAGGUAAAUCCGGGGUUUCAAGGCCGAGAGCUGAUGACGAGUCGUCUUUUAGAUGACGAAGUGGUUGAUGCCAUGCUUCCAAGAAAAGCUUCUAAGCUUCAGGUAACCAGGAACCGUACCCCAAACCGACACAGGUGGUCGGGUAGAGAAUACCAAGGCGCUUGAGAGAACUCGGGUGAAGGAACUAGGCAAAAUGGCACCGUAACUUCGGGAGAAGGUGCGCCGGCUAGGGUGAAGGAUUUACUCCGUAAGC
rnacentral:rRNA from 1 species